rnacentral:lncRNA from 1 species
CUUUGUUUAUUAUGUGUAAAGUUUUGAUCUUUGCUUAAAAUGAAUGCUCAUGGUUUGUUUAAAUUCGUUAUUGGUGGAUAUGUUUGCUUUUAGUAUGUAAAUUUGUUUCUUUAUGUCAAAAAGAAAUGGUUACUAUUGUUAAGGAUUUGUGAAAUUGUUUCUCAAUUUGAAGUAGUGACUUACUCAUUUUCAUGGUCAAAAUUGUCUUUGAUUUUCUCUUGUUU